rnacentral:rRNA from 1 species
GACGAACGCUGGCGGCGUGCUUAACACAUGCAAGUCGAACGGAAAGGCCCUGCUUGCAGGGUACUCGAGUGGCGACCGGGUGAGUAACACGUGGGUGAUCUGCCCUGCACUUCGGGAUAAGCUUGGGAAACUGGGUCUAAUACCGGAUAGAAGCCAUCUUGAGUGUGGUGGUUGGCAAGUUUUUUCGGUGUAGGAUGAGCUCGCGGCCUAUCAGCGGGUUGGUGGGGUAAUGGCCUACCAAGGCGGCGACGGGUAGCCGGCCUGAGAGGGGGUACGGCCACAAUGGAACUGAGAUACGGGCCAGGCUCCCACGGGGGGCAGGAGGGGGGAAUAUUGCACAAUGGGCGGUAGGCUGAUGCAGCAACGCCGCGUGGGGGGUGAAGGCCUUCGGGUUGUAAACUCCAAACGCUAGGGACGAAGCUUUUUUGUGACGGUACCUAGAUAAGAAGCACCGGCUAACUACGUG